UGGUUUUUUAUUUAUUUAUUUUUUUCCCCAAAGGAUAGGGCUGGGCUGGGUUUAUUGCAGUCUAGUGUAGGCAGUGGGGUGAUUUGGGUGCUGGUGUUGUGUCAUGUAGAGAAGAGGCGAUGUGGAAAUGGAGAUGGCAAAGCUGUGAUGGAGAAGGGUGCUACCCGAUGGUAGUGCAUGAUUGGAUUUGGGUUAAUGGUAUGGGGAUUUAGAUUCUGUGGAGUUGGCCAUGGGGUAAAGGG
rnacentral:misc_RNA from 1 species